CAAAAACAUGGCGGAUUUUCACGUUUGCUGACGCCAGAAUGACGCCACUGGUCCCAAAUCCUCGUGGUAAUUACCACUGAGCAAGGCUCAUUUUGAGCCCGCUACCACUUUCUCAUCCCCCUGAUUUUCGCAAAAAUAUUUUAGCUUUUUGUUUUGGAGUUUGCCUCGGUGUUUGCCUUCUCUUCGACAUUUUAACAUUUGUUUCGAGUUGCACAAGUGGUAAGAAUCAUCCUGGCUAGUGAAAGACAGAGAACGAAUCUUCAAACCUCAAGAAAUUUUGGAAAGACGUUAUUUUGUAAAGGUAAAAAAUACUGUUUAUAUGUUCAAUAUUAAUUUGUGAUAGAGUAGGUCAAAACAAAGCGAAAUAAACAGCCCAUUUGUACUGUGUAGUGGACAAUUUUAGCAACUGAUGUAUACAAUUAGGUUGACUAAACUAUACCUCGAAAGAAAAUGGUUGAAUUUUCUGAUUUUAGUUUCAUUUGUUAUUUCAAAUUUUACGAUAUAAAAUGCCAGUUGACCAUCGUCUGCUUCAUGAUCAUACUUAUUAAAAUUAAAGUGGUUUCUAUUGUAUUAGUAUACCUAUAGAGGAAGACCUUUUUAAGCCAGAACUAUCA